GUCGAGGGGCAGCACGGUGUAGCAAUACACUGGUGGCGACCGGCGCACGGGUGCGUAACGCGUAUGCAACCUACCCAUAACAGGGGGAUAACACUGAGAAAUUGGUACUAAUACCCCAUAACAUCAGGACCGGCAUCGGUUCUGGUUGAAAACUCCGGUGGUUAUGAAUGGGCAUGCGUUGUAUUAGCUGGUUGGUGAGGUAACGGCUCACCAAGGCAACGAUACAUAGGGGGACUGAGAGGUUAACCCCCCACAUUGGUACUGAGACACGGACCAAACUCCUACGGGAGGCAGCAGUGAGGAAUAUUGGUCAAUGGACGCAAGUCUGAACCAGCCAUGCCGCGUGCAGGAAGACGGCUCUAUGAGUUGUAAACUGCUUUUGUACGAGAGUAAACGCUCUUACGUGUAAGAGCCUGAAAGUAUCGUACGAAUAAGGAUCGGCUAACUCCGUGCCAGCAGCCGCGGUAAUACGGAGGAUCCAAGCGUUAUCCGGAUUUAUUGGGUUUAAAGGGUGCGUAGGCGGUUUGAUAAGUUAGAGGUGAAAUACCGGUGCUUAACACCGGAACUGCCUCUAAUACUGUUGAACUAGAGAGUAGUUGCGGUAGG
rnacentral:rRNA from 1 species